rnacentral:rRNA from 1 species
AACGUAGGGGGCCAGCGUUGCUCGGAAUUACUGGGCGUAAAGGGUCCGUAGGCGGUGUGGCAAGUCGGUAGUGAAAUCUCCGGGCUUAACCCGGAGGCUGCUGCCGAAACUGCCGUGCUCGAGUGUGAGAGAGGCGAGUGGAAUUACGGGUGUAGCGGUGAAAUGCGUAGAUAUCCGUAGGAACAUCCGAGGCGAAAGCGGCUCGCUGGAUCACAACUGACGCUGAGGGACGAAAGCUAGGGGAGCAAACAGG